GCUGAGGCGUGAUGACGAGGCACUACGGUGCUGAAGCAACAAAUGCCCUGCUUCCAGGAAAAGCCUCUAAGCAUCAGGUAACAUCAAAUCGUACCCCAAACCGACACAGGUGGUCAGGUAGAGAAUACCAAGGCGCUUGAGAGAACUCGGGUGAAGGAACUAGGCAAAAUGGUGCCGUAACUUCGGGAGAAGGCACGCUGAUAUGUAGGUGAAGUCCCUCGCGGAUGGAGCUGAAAUCAGUCGAAGAUACCAGCUGGCUGCAACUGUUUAUUAAAAACACAGCACUGUGCAAACACGAAAGUGGACGUAUACGGUGUGACGCCUGCCCGGUGCCGGAAGGUUAAUUGAUGGGGUCAGCGCAAGCGAAGCUCUUGAUCGAAGCCCCGGUAAACGGCGGCCGUAACUAUAACGGUCCUAAGGUAGCGAAAUUCCUUGUCGGGUAAGUUCCGACCUGCACGAAUGGCGUAAUGAUGGCCAGGCUGUCUCCACCCGAGACUCAGUGAAAUUGAACUCGCUGUGAAGAUGCAGUGUACCCGCGGCAAGACGGAAAGACCCCGUGAACCUUUACUAUAGCUUGACACUGAACAUUGAGCCUUGAUGUGUAGGAUAGGUGGGAGGCUUUGAAGUGUGGACGCCAGUCUGCAUGGAGCCGACCUUGAAAUACCACCCUUUAAUGUUUGAUGUUCUAACGUGGACCCGUAAUCCGGGUUGCGGACAGUGUCUGGUGGGUAGUUUGACUGGGGCGGUCUCCUCCUAAAGAGUAACGGAGGAGCACGAAGGUUGGCUAAUCCUGGUCGGACAUCAGGAGGUUAGUGCAAUGGCAUAAGCCAGCUUGACUGCGAGCGUGACGGCGCGAGCAGGUGCGAAAGCAGGUCAUAGUGAUCCGGUGGUUCUGAAUGGAAGGGCCAUCGCUCAACGGAUAAAAGGUACUCCGGGGAUAACAGGCUGAUACCGCCCAAGAGUUCAUAUCGACGGCGGUGUUUGGCACCUCGAUGUCGGCUCAUCACAUCCUGGGGCUGAAGUAGGUCCCAAGGGUAUGGCUGUUCGCCAUUUAAAGUGGUACGCGAGCUGGGUUUAGAACGUCGUGAGACAGUUCGGUCCCUAUCUGCCGUGGGCGCUGGAGAACUGAGGGGGGCUGCUCCUAGUACGAGAGGACCGGAGUGGACGCAUCACUGGUGUUCGGGUUGUCAUGCCAAUGGCACUGCCCGGUAGCUAAAUGCGGAAGAGAUAAGUGCUGAAAGCAUCUAAGCACGAAACUUGCCCCGAGAUGAGUUCUCCCUGACUCCUUGAGAGUCCUGAAGGAACGUU
rnacentral:rRNA from 1 species